UGCAGAUACAGCAAUGGAAGCAGAUGC
rnacentral:piRNA from 1 species